UCCUAGCCCAGAUCGUAGCGAAAAGCUUCGAUCACAUUCCAUUUUUUCUUGACAGAAAAGAGCGACCGGAGCGAGCUCCUUUUAAGGCUUUAGAAAAAACAGGAAUCAGCGCGAGAACUUGAAGUGUAUAGCUGGAAUAGCU
rnacentral:sRNA from 1 species